rnacentral:rRNA from 1 species
AUUGAACGCUGGCGGCAUGCCUUACACAUGCAAGUCGAACGGCAGCACGGGAGCAAUCCUGGUGGCGAGUGGCGAACGGGUGAGUAAUAUAUCGGAACGUGCCCGGUCGUGGGGAUAACGUAGCGAAAGCUACGCUAAUACCGCAUACGAUCUACGGAUGAAAGCGGGGGAUCGCAAGACCUCGCGCGAUUGGAGCGGCCGAUAUCAGAUUAGGUAGUUGGUGAGGUAAAGGCUCACCAAGCCGACGAUCUGUAGCUGGUCUGAGAGGACGACCAGCCACACUGGGACUGAGACACGGCCCAGACUCCUACGGGAGGCAGCAGUGGGGAAUUUUGGACAAUGGGCGCAAGCCUGAUCCAGCAAUGCCGCGUGCGAGGAGUAGGAACGGU